rnacentral:lncRNA from 1 species
CUUCAUUUGGCUUUGUUCAACUUUUCAUUAUUUUUUCAACACUCAACAUUGCUCCUUUCGAUACAAUAGGACUUGCAUAUUCCAUCCAAUACAAUUCAACUAUGCAAGCUUCCACUUCCUCAUUGGAUUUAAUCACAAAAAUAAAUUCUUGGCAAUCAACUAAGUCUGAAGAGUGUAAGUUGAUUUUCUCCUCAUUGAUUGCCACAUCUUCAUUUAGAUCUGUUGUUAUUAAUUUUUCAUUUUCUUCAAGUUCUUCUUCAAUACUUGACUCAUUUUCGGAUUAAAUGAUCAAUCUGCCAUCAAACUCCACGAGCAAUGGCAAGUCUUUCACAUUAACUCCUUCAAGAUGAUUGUACCCCACCUUUGAAAUCUAUUCCAAUAUCUAUAAUCUCCCACAAGUAUGUCUUCUUCAUCCAACUUGUAAAGUUAAUGGUAAUACUUUGCAAGUACUUGCUCGUUCAAUAAAGGAGGACCAUCUCCCGAGAAUUUGAUGUCCUCAUUCCAAUCAUCAGGUACAUAAUCUUCUGUGAGCAUGUAACUUUCAUCAAAAUUGUCCAGUACUUGUUUUUGAUAUUUUAAAUAUUGUCUAAACUAAAUAAGUUUCAACAUUAGUGCAUCAAUGUACAAAUACAAGCAUUGGCCUAUGCAGUGCAUCAUUUAACAAAUUUCACAUCUUGGAUCACCUGCAAACAUAUAUCCAUAAUCAAUGUUGAGAGUUUUCAUUGCAACAAUUUGUU